rnacentral:tRNA from 1 species
GGCAAAUGUAGCCAAGUGGCUACGGCGGUGGAUUGUGGCUCCAUAAAGCACCGGUUCGAAUCCGGUCAUUUGCC